GUGACAGGUCCAGAAAAAGUCGGUCGCCAUCGUCACCGUCGGCUUCAGAUGUGCAUUGGCAGUCGGGCAUGAGCGCAGUGCACGCGGCAGGCCAGCUUCUCCCUGCGCAGUGGAACCACCUCCGCCUGCGUUGGGUUGCUGCGGCUUCCGACACUGCGACACACCCCAAGCGCUGCUCUGCUCCCACCACGCCACGCGACACAGAGCGAGCGAGCGCUCCGUUCCGCGGUUUCUGCCCCCGGUCGCGCCCGCCCCGCUGCACGGCUCCCGAGACUCCUCUCCACCGUCGCCAUCGCCAUCGCUGCGCUGCUGAGACGCUGCCGGUGAUGUACUAAUGUAAAUCUCUCUUCGGUGCUGCUGCUUGCUGCUCCAGCGCUGCGCGCUCUCCAUUUCGCGCCCCCACUGUUUCUCCGGCUGUUUUCUUUUUCCUUUUUGAUCCGCGCGCGUGGCGGUGUUGGCGGCGGCGACUCCCUGGUUCCGCACGAUCGAAUCGUUCGCCGUGCGUCCGCUGGUACGUCGGCGCGAUCUGAUGGGGUUACCCCCCGGCCUGAUUCGGCCUGACGCGGCGGAUUCGGGCCGGGAAAUGCUUCGGCGCUGAUGAUAAGAUGCCUGUCGCGCGGUGCUUCAAUGCGGAUUCCGGUUUGGGUGGGAUUGGCGCCUUGAGACGGCUUCCAUUGACCAGUCUGGAGGUGAUUUAGCUCGGGAUUGGCGGUAAUCUGUCUGGCUCUGUAAAAGGUGGGAUUUUCCUCGGUGGACACCCCCGUGGGAGGCGGGCAUCGGGUGAUGGAGAUGUCAUCGCCUCAUCGCCGGUGGCAUUCGAUUCCGCUCUAAAGGACCUUGGUGAUUGGGAAGCAGGGCGUGUCUUUAAGGCGGUUCGCGAUGGCGAUGAUGAAGGCCCCAGUUUUAUUCCUCCGGCCGUCCUCUCCCGCUUUUGUCCACCUGAACUGGUCGUUCUUUUCUUGUCACAACGGGCCGGGCCAAGGGAGGGACACUUCUUGCGCAGUUGAGCUGAAACUCCGAUGCUGCUUGCUCAUUGGGUUCCUCUCAUGGUUUUUCUUUGAUCGGUGAAUUUAUUCUUGUCUGUUGGGUAUUCUUGCAUUGCAUGUGGAGAUUGGAAGGAUGUAACGCCAGCCUGAGUUGCAUGGAGGGAUAAUGCCACAGUUGCGGAGUGGUGCUCGGAGAGCUUGUCUGAGGUCUAAGAAGGUCGACAAGGCUGCAGACCCAGUUGGGAGCCCUGCAGUGCUGCCUCCUCAGGGCAGGGCUAGAAGGCGUGGAGGUGUUGUGCCUGGUAGUGGUAGAGGUAACAAGGCAGCUGCUAAGGGUAGAGGGAGGUCAGCUUCGAAACACAGAGGAAAGGGGCUCGAGGCUAUUGAUUUGCAGAUUCAUCUGCCUUACAACAACCUCCCUGAACCUGUUGUUGCCGGCGAGGCAGUUAUUUGCACAGCCCACAAGGACCUUUGUUUGGGCAAGGCAGCUGACCGUGCUGCCAUCUUAAGAAUGGUGGGUGAUAUGGAUAAAUUUGCAGUGGCAGAGGAUGAUGCCACAACCUCCCCAGUGCCUGAGAGGGUUCAAGUAGGUAAUUCCCCAGAAUAUUUAACUGGUAAAAAGUUAGGCAAAGGUGGCUUUGGCCAGGUUUAUGUUGGAAGAAGAGUAUCUGGUGGAUCUUCUCGUAUGGGUCCUGAUGCAUAUGAGGUUGCACUAAAAUUUGAGCACCGAAGCAGUAAGGGAUGCAACUAUGCCCCCCCAUGCGAGUGGCAUGUUUAUCACACUCUCAAUGGUUGUUAUGGCAUUCCAUCAGUCCACUACAAGGGUCGCCAGGGAGACUACUACAUUCUUGUAAUGGAUAUGCUUGGUUCCAGCCUCUGGGAUGUUUGGAAUUCUGUAGGACAGGCGAUGGCUCCUCAUAUGGCUGCUUGCAUUGCUGUUGAAGCCAUAUCAAUUCUUGAGAAACUUCACUCAAAAGGCUUUGUACAUGGUGAUGUGAAACCAGAGAACCUUUUGCUUGGUCAGCCUGGUUCACUUGAUGAGAAGAAGCUUUUCCUGAUUGAUCUUGGUUUAGCAUCCAGGUGGAAAGAAGCAAUAUCUGAUAAGCAUGUUGAAUACGAUCAGAGACCAGAUAUCUUUAGGGGAACAAUUAGAUAUGCUAGUGUCCAUGCUCAUUUAGGUCGUACUGGUAGUAGGAGGGAUGAUCUGGAGUCACUAGCAUACACCCUUAUUUUUUUAAUAAGAGGAAGAUUGCCUUGGCAAGGCUAUCAGGGAGAUAACAAGAGUUUUCUUGUUUGUAAGAAGAAAAUGACCACUUCUCCAGAGAUGCUUUGUUCCUCCUGUCCAGCUCCAUUCAAAUAUUUUCUUGAGAUGGUCACCAAUAUGAAAUUUGAUGAAGAGCCAAAUUACUCUAAACUUAUUUCUCUUUUUGAUGGUUUGAUUGAAGAGCCUGCUUCAAGACCCAUCAGAAUUGAUGGAGCUCUAAAGGUUGGACAGAAACGUGGAAGAGCACAUGUAAACCUUGAGGUCAGUGAACAACCGAAGAAGAAAGUUAGAUUGGGGAGCCCAGUAACUCAAUGGAUUUCAGUGUAUAAUGCUAGGUGGCCCAUGAAGCAGAGAUAUCAUUAUAAUGUAGCUGAUUCAAGGCUGCACCAGCAUAUAGAAAAAGGUAAUCAAGAUGGUUUGUAUAUAAGUUGUGUGGCUUCUUCAGCAAACUUUUGGGCUGUCAUCAUGGAUGCUGGGACUGGAUUUUGUUCUCAAGUUUAUGACCUCUCACAAGUGUUUCUGCACAAGGAGUGGAUUACAGAGCAGUGGGAGAAGAAUUAUUACAUAACAGCAAUUGCUGGUGCAACCAAUGGAAGUUCCUUGAUUGUAAUGUCUAAAGCAAGCGCUAUGCUGAAUGCCAUUGAUAUAUUUUAAAGCCAUGGCUCUUGGCAAGUAAUGUAGUCGUUCUCAUUCUAUUGUGUGGAAUGCAAAUAAUCAGAUAUCUUUUCUUGUUUUUUGAUGAUGUUUAGGCCUAGGCUUCCAAGUAAUGCAGGUUCGGGUACACUAAAAUCGCUGCAUGGACUCUAUAUUUCCACGAUAUAUAUGGUGUCAUCAGCCAAUGAUUGUGUCAGCCAAAGCAUGAUGAGAAACAUAAUAUGCCCCCAUAUUAUCUACCUGUUCUUACUAACAUUUUUAUUGUGCCACCGGCCAUAGUUCUGAUAAACGACUUGCUAAUGUUAGUUUUACUAUUGGUUAUAGUUCUGGUAUACUAGUGAUAAGUUGAUGGUGUGACUCGUGAGCAGUUUUCUGUUGCUGAGCAUUGACAGGAUGUCUGUGUACUGUGUGUUCCUUGUGAACUGUUAAGCGUCUUUUCAAACAUAUAAAGUAUUGUUCUGACUUUGUAUGCAUCAUCACUACAGGAACUCCUUACACACAGCAGUCAUACAAAGUCAGUGAAUCAUUUCCUUAUAAAUGGAUUAAUAAAAAAUGGAAAGAAGGUUUUCAUGUGACAUCUAUGGCUACAGCAGGGAAUCGUUGGGGAGUGAUCGUGUCAAGGAAUGCAGGCUAUUCUACUCAGGUGGUGGAGCUGGACUUCCUGUAUCCUAGUGAAGGUAUCCAUCGGCGAUGGGAGACUGGUUACAGGAUAACUUCGAUUGCAGCAACACCUGACCAAGCUGCUUUUAUCUUGAGCAUCCCAAAGAGGAAGCCCAUGGACGAGACGCAAGAAAUUCUCCGUACUUCCGCCUUCCCCAGCAGCCAUGUAAAGGAAAAAUGGGUGAAGAACCUGUAUAUUUCCUCGGUCUGCUACGGGCGAACUGUGUGCUGACGUGUAUGUUGAAGCUCCAAUUAAGGUGCAAGCAAUGUGCCAAUAUCCUACUCUGAUUGUAAAGGAUGACCUUGUUCAUAAGUUAGGGUCAUAUUUGUUAGUAUAUAUGUGUUUUGUAGAAGUGCUAAACGCUCAUUUUGAUGAGCUCGAUCGACGGACGCCUCAACCGCUGGCGCCACACGGCGAUGCUGUAGAUUCACCCUUGUGCUCCCGUACGUACGUUGCUUUUGACGACGUUGCUGUAACAGGCUAUGCUUUGCUAUUGCUACCUCAAAAGCAAACACAUUCGUUCAUAAAUUACACAAAACACAACACAAGUUCAGGGCUUGAGAUCGACAGCCCCAUGCA